rnacentral:rRNA from 1 species
GAUGAACGCUGGCGGCGUGCCUAAUACAUGCAAGUCGAGCGAACAGACGAGGAGCUUGCUCCUCUGACGUUAGCGGCGGACGGGUGAGUAACACGUGGAUAACCUACCUAUAAGACUGGGAUAACUUCGGGAAGCCGGAGCUAAUACCGGAUAAUAUAUUGAACCGCAUGGUUCAAUAGUGAAAGACGGUUUUGCUGUCACUUAUAGAUGGAUCCGCGCCGCAUUAGCUAGUUGGUAAGGUAACGGCUUACCAAGGCGACGAUGCGUAGCCGACCUGAGAGGGUGAUCGGCCACACUGGAACUGAGACACGGUCCAGACUCCUACGGGAGGCAGCAGCAGGGAAUCUUCCGCAAUGGGCGAAAGCCUGACGGAGCAACGCCGCGUGAGUGAUGAAGGUCUUCGGAUCGUAAAACUCUGUUAUUAGGGAAGAACAAAUGUGUAAGUAACUAUGCACGUCUUGACGGUACCUAAUCAGAAAGCCACGGCUAACUACGUG